rnacentral:rRNA from 1 species
UACAGAGGUCCCAAGCGUUGUUCGGAUUCAUUGGGCGUAAAGGGUGCGUAGGCGGCGCGGUAAGUCGGGUGUGAAAUCUCGGAGCUUAACUCCGAAACUGCAUUCGAUACUGCCGUGCUUGAGGACUGGAGAGGAGACUGGAAUUUACGGUGUAGCGGUGAAAUGCGUAGAUAUCGUAAGGAAAACCAGUGGCGAAGGCGGGUCUCUGGACAGUUCCUGACGCUGAGGCACGAAGGCCAGGGGAGCAAACGGG